UGGGGAAUAUUGCACAAUGGGGGAAACCCUGAUGCAGCGACGCCGCGUGAACGAAGAAGGUAUUCGUAUCGUAAAGUUCUUUCCUAUGGGAAGAUAAUGACAGUACCAUAGAAGAAAGCUCCGGCUAAAUACGUGCCAGCAGCCGCGGUAAUACGUAUGGAGCGAGCGUUGUCCGGAAUUAUUGGGCGUAAAGGGUACGCAGGCGGUUUAAUAAGUCGAAUGUUAAAGAUCGGGGCUCAACCCCGCAAAGCAUUGAAAACUGAUAAACUUGAGUAGUGGAGAGGAAAGUGGAAUUCCUAGUGUAGUGGUGAAAUACGUAGAUAUUAGGAGGAAUACCAGUAGCGAAGGCGACGUUCUGGACACAAACUGACGCUGAGGUACGAAAGCGUGGGGAGCAAACAGG
rnacentral:rRNA from 1 species